GCUCAGGAUGAACGCUGGCGGCGCGCCUAACACAUGCAAGUCGAACGAGAGAUGAGGAGCUUGCUCUUCAAAUCGAGUGGCGAACGGGUGAGUAACGCGUGAGGAACCUGCCUCAAAGAGGGGGACAACAGUUGGAAACGACUGCUAAUACCGCAUAAGCCCACGGCUCGGCAUCGAGCAGAGGGAAAAGGAGUGAUCCGCUUUGAGAUGGCCUCGCGUCCGAUUAGCUAGUUGGUGAGGUAACGGCCCACCAAGGCAACGAUCGGUAGCCGGACUGAGAGGUUGAACGGCCACAUUGGGACUGAGACACGGCCCAGACUCCUACGGGAGGCAGCAGUA
rnacentral:rRNA from 1 species